UACGUAGGUGGCGAGCGUUGUCCGGAAUUACUGGGUGUAAAGGGCGUGUAGGCGGGGAUACAAGUCAGGUGUGAAAUUCCGCGGCUCAACUGCGGGACUGCAUUUGAAACUGUAUAUCUUGAGUAUUGGAGAGGGAAGUGGAAUUCCUAGUGUAGCGGUGAAAUGCGUAGAGAUUAGGAGGAACACCAGUGGCGAAGGCGGCUUCCUGGCCAAAUACUGACGCUGAGGCGCGAAAGCGUGGGGAGCAAACAGGAUUAGAUACCCUGGUAGUCCACGCCGUAAACGAUGGAUACUAGGUGUGGGUGGCAACGGACCAUCUGUGCCGGCGUUAACACAAUAAGUAUCCCACCUGGGGAGUACGGCCGCAAGGUUGAA
rnacentral:rRNA from 1 species